CCCAGAAUAACCCGAGCAAGGCUGUCUUUGGGGGCAGGUGCCGAAGUCGGCUGCUGACCUGCAGGGCCCUGCUUGCCAGCAGGGGCCAGUCCCUCCUGGGCACCCCCCCCCCAUUUAGCACUGCAGGGAAGCAGCAGGGGUGCAGAGCAAAGGACGUGGGCUGUCCUCAAAUCCCGGAACGGGGGAGGCAGAAGGGAUCUCGGAGAGCCUCUCAUCCAAUCCUCCUCCGCCACCCACUGCUGGACAGAUGGGGAGACUGACGUCCAGAUGGGUGAAAGCUCACCAUCAAGUGUGUUUUUCUUCUUCUGGAUCACUUCUAAAUGCGACCGAGGACCCUCAGAAAACUCACACCGACCCAUUCAUCUUCUGGAAAACUUCUCUGAUCACGCAAACCCCUCCGGAAAUCCCGUCGCCUUCACAAACCCCACGUGCCACCCCUCCGUAGAGCCCGUGGUUGGUUCUGGAGCGAGCCGUCUGCUUUUACGCCCCCAACGGCAGUGGUGAACUCCUGCUGUCCACCGCCUGGCCUUCCCUUCCCCGUGUCUGCUGGGAGUCACACUCACCACGCCACGUCACCGCCUCCAGGAAGACUUCUCUGAAUGCAUUCUGGAGAGAGGGUCCCUCAUCUCUGAAUUCUUCUCAGAGCUCUUUCAACUGUUGGUUUUGUAAUUCCUGCAUGUUUUAGCUCAUGCUUCAGCUCCAGGUUCUGCAGUUUACUCGUCUGUAAAAUGGGAUCUUAGCAGUACCCAGUGCACCCACUGUGAAGACUGAGGUUGGAGUUGCAUAAACUAGCAGAAAGACCAGGUCCAUAGACGUUAGUGAUAGAAAUGGUUGUUUCUGGGACCCCUGGGUGGCUCAGUUGGUUAAGCGUCUGCCUUCGACCUCAGGUCAUGAUCCUAGGGCCCUGGGAUGGAGCCCCACGUCAGCCUCCCUGCUCAGUGGGGAGCCUGCUUCUCCCUCUCCCCUCACCCUGCUCCUGUUCACUCUCUCUCUCUCUCAAGUAAAUGAAUAAAAUUAAAAAAAAAAAAAGAAAUGACUGUUUC
rnacentral:lncRNA from 12 species